rnacentral:rRNA from 1 species
AGGUGAUGGACAACAGGUUGAUAUUCCUGUACUACCGAUAACCGUUUGAGAGAUGGGAUGACACAGUAGGAUAAGCUAAGCACACUGUUGGUUAUGUGUGCCCAAGCAUUGAGGCAGUCAAAGUAGGUAAAUCCGCUUUGAUAAUGCUGGGAUGUGAUGGGGAGCGAAAUUUAGUAGCGAAGUAGCUGAUUUCACACUGUCAAGAAAAGUCUCUAUCGAGGGUAAAGGUACCCGUACCGCAAACCGACACAGG